GGGUCAGUAGGUUGGUCGUGCCACCGGUACGUACUGGUCUCACUGAUUCCUCCUUCCUGAAGAACCGUAAUGCCAUUAAUUUGGUGUUGCGGGGAAACAGGACUGUUACUUUGAAAAAAUUAGAGUGUUUAAAGCAAGCUAACGCUUGAAUACAUUAGCAUGGAAUAAUGAAACAGGACGAUCGAUCCUAUUUUGUUGGUUUCUAGGAUUGACGUA
rnacentral:rRNA from 1 species